rnacentral:lncRNA from 1 species
CUAGCUUGAUGGCCCUCUCUAGCUCAGUUGGUAGAGCAUGGCACUUUAGCACAACUUAACUCCUGUAAGGCUGUCAAACAUGUCCAAUCACCAUCCAGUUGUCCAUGUUUCAUAAUCAUGUAUAGCUUCUGCUUCUUUGAAAAAAGGACUCAGCCAUUAGUGUCUAUUGGUUGACUUAGCCAACCACCUGGGGGGGAAAAAAAAGCGACCAGACAAUGCACAUCGAGACAGAACCUUCUCCAACUUUUUCCUGGACUAUCAGCUUAUCAUAUAACAAGUAGAAGACAGCUGUCAGUAGUGGCUGGCUAUAGCAGGAGAUGCGGUCUCUGUGAGGAGGCAUCAGACUGGAGUUUGUUCUGAGAGUAGAGAGAAGCUUUUGUCCCCAGUCUGUUUGAGCCUUCAGACUACACGUCAGUAACAGUUCCACAGACAUGUGUCUACUCUCAUUUAGGCUCUUUCUGACAGAUGGCCGAGGAACAUCAUGCCAAAGAUGAUCACAUGUCAGGGAUGGUUGAUGUUGAGGGAAUCUGUCCUUCUGUUUCUCUCUCUCUCCCUUUCUCACGUAUGCACAUAUGCACACAUGCGCACACACAUUCACACACACACAAACACACAUACUCCCUCACAUGUAAUUAACCUCUCUAGGGUCGGCGGGACGAAAUCGUCCCACCUACGUAGCAGCCAGUGGAAUCCUGUGGCGCGUUAUUCAAAUACCUUAGAAAUGCUAUUACUUCCAUUUCUCAAACAUAUGACUAUUUUACACCAUUUUAAAGACAAGACUCUCGUUAAUCUAACCACACUGUCCGAUUUCAAAAAGGCUUUACAACGAAAGCAAAACAUUAGAUUAUGUCAGCAGAGUACCCAGCCAGAAAUAAUCAGACAC